ACCCAGCUGACCACGAGUCCCAAAUAGGACGAAAUGCACAUCCUGGAU
rnacentral:hammerhead_ribozyme from 1 species